rnacentral:rRNA from 1 species
AUUGAACGCUGGCGGCAUGCCUUACACAUGCAAGUCGAACGGCAGCGCGGGAGCAAUCCUGGUGGCGAGUGGCGAACGGGUGAGUAAUAUAUCGGAACGUGCCCGGUCGUGGGGGAUAACGUAGCGAAAGCUACGCUAAUACCGCAUACGAUCUACGGAUGAAAGCGGGGGAUCGCAAGACCUCGCGCGAUUGGAGCGGCCGAUAUCAGAUUAGGUAGUUGGUGAGGUAAAGGCUCACCAAGCCGACGAUCUGUAGCUGGUCUGAGAGGACGACCAGCCACACUGGGACUGAGACACGGCCCAGACUCCUACGGGAGGCAGCAGUGGGGAAUUUUGGACAAUGGGCGCAAGCCUGAUCCAGCAAUGCCGCGUGCAGGAUGAAGGCCUCGGUUGUAACGUAG